CUAAGUAUAAGCAACUAUACUGUGAAACUGCGAAUGGCUCAUUAAAUCAGUUAUCGUUUAUUUGAUAGUGCCCUUUACUACUUGGAUAACCGUGGUAAUUCUAGAGCUAAUACAUGCUUAAAACCCCGACUUCGGAAGGGGUGUAUUUAUUAGAUAAAAAACCAAUGCCCUUCGGGGCUCUUUGGUGAUUCAUAAUAACGCAACGAAUCGCAUGGCCUUGUGCCGGCGAUGGUUCAUUCAAAUUUCUGCCCUAUCAACUUUCGAUUGUAGUUUAGUGGACUACAAUGGUUUCAACGGGUAACGGGGAAUUAGGGUUCGACUCCGGAGAGGGAGCCUGAGAAACGGCUACCACAUCCAAGGAAGGCAGCAGGCGCGCAAAUUACCCAAUCCCGACUCGGGGAGGUAGUGACAAUAAAUACUGAUACAGGGCUCUUUUGGGUCUUGUAAUUGGAAUGAGUACAAUUUAAAUCCCUUAACGAGGAACAAUUGGAGGGCAAGUCUGGUGCCAGCAGCCGCGGUAAUUCCAGCUCCAAUAGCGUAUAUUAAAGUUGUUGCAGUUAAAAAGCUCGUAGUUGAACCUUGGGCCUGGCUGACCGGUCCGCCUCACCGCGUGCACUGGCUCGGCCGGGCCUUUCCUUCUGUGGAUCCGCAUGCCCUUCACUGGGUGUGUUGGGGAAACAGGACUUUUACUUUGAAAAAAUUAGAGUGUUCAAAGCAGGCCUUUGCUCGAAUACAUUAGCAUGGAAUAAUAGAAUAGGACGGCCUUCCUAUUUUGUUGGUUUCUAGGAGUGCCGUAAUGAUUAAUAGGGAUAGUUGGGGGCAUCUGUAUUCAAUUGUCAGAGGUGAAAUUCUUGGAUUUAUUGAAGACAAACUACUGCGAAAGCAUUUGCCAAAGAUGUUUUCAUUAAUCAGUGAACGAAAGUUAGGGGAUCGAAGACGAUCAGAUACCGUCGUAGUCUUAACCAUAAACUAUGCCGACUAGGGAUCGGGCGAUGUUACUAUCUUGACUCGCUCGGCACCUUUCGAGAAAUCAAAGUUUUUGGGUUCUGGGGGGAGUAUGGUCGCAAGGCUGAAACUUAAAGAAAUUGACGGAAGGGCACCACCAGGAGUGGAGCCUGCGGCUUAAUUUGACUCAACACGGGGAAACUCACCAGGUCCAGAUACACGUAGGAUUGACAGAUUGAGAGCUCUUUCUUGAUUGUGUAGUUGGUGGUGCAUGGCCGUUCUUAGUUGGUGGAGUGAUUUGUCUGCUUAAUUGCGAUAACGAACGAGACCUUCAUCGUUAAAUAGCCCGGCUCGCUUUGGCGUGUCGCCGGCUUCUUAGCGAGACUUUUGGCUUAAGCCAAAGGAAGUUGGAGGCAAUAACAGGUCUGUGAUGCCCUUAGAUGUUCUGGGCUGCACGCGCGCUACACUGACAGAGCCAACGAGUUUUUUUCCUUGGCCGGAAGGCCUGGGUAAUCUUGUUAAACUCUGUC
rnacentral:rRNA from 1 species